CCUGAUAAUUAAGCUACAUUAAUUCCCGGCUAAUGAUGCAACAUCAUCAUGAUUACUGUUGUUAAACUCUCGUUAGUUCGAACCUGGUCCAAAUUCAAAUUUAACUUAAAGUCCAAAAUAAAAGUUUUCAAACAUGAAAGCUAAAAUGUUCAAAGUGUGGCAAAUAAUCGAUGGAUAUUUGUCAUGUUGGAACAAACCUCUUUUGGAUUCCGAAAGUGCCCCUGGAAAUUAUUUAGUGGUCCAGCAUCUUUUGAAAUUGACCUUUUCAAUUUCUAAAAAUGGUUAGACAACUCCUUUUGACCCCAUACUUUUUGUUCCAUCUCAAUUUAUUGUUUUAGAAUUAUGUGCCACGUUUCGCUCAAAACAAAACUCUUUUGACACAAAAACAAAAUGCAAACAUAGGCAAAAAAAAUGAGUUAAACAAAAGAAACGGAAAGACCCGAUUAGCAAAAGAAAACAAAACCCCUCCCCACUAAUUCCCCUGGGCCUUGGCCACUGGACAGGCCCAACCCACCGCCAGGUCGUUCCCCUUCCUCUGUUCAUCGGGAGCUCGUGGACAGAGGGCGGCCGUACACGGUGCCGAUGGCCACGGGGCGGCCAUCCACUCCCCUUGGCGCCCUACAAGGUUGCUCCCUCCCCCCUGCGAAACCCUAGCCCACCGUUUUCCCCUCGCUCGUCUCUCUCCCUCUUAAUUUCUUCCAUGCCCGGGCACAACCGUCGUCGCGCCGCCAUCGUUGUCGUGGUCGACGUCCAUCACGAGCCGCAACGAGAAGACCAGGAGGUGGGCACCAGCAUCCUCGACACCUGGGUAGAAGGAGCUGUACCGCGGAGUCCCGAGCCUCGCCAUCGACCUGUCUUCGUCACCACGGUCGUCGCCGCCGAUUUCGUCGAUCCGCUCGACCUCUUGCUUUCCCGGAUUCCCCGAGACCACUACGAGCACCAAUGUGAGCAUCCGGUCCUUCGCAACCCCCUCUUCCUCCUCCCCAUGCCCCUUAGGCACCGAUUCGUCGAGCUCCGCCCGUUGACCACCGUCGCGUACAGGCCUCUGACUGCGCCCCGCCUCUGACUGUGCCCCGCGUGCGUCCGCGUGCCCGCAGCCGCGCUCGCCUCGCUUGUUACCGCCAGACCACGCCUGCUCCGGCCUGCCGCCGACCACGUCGUAGUUGCCCCGCACACUACCCCCGCUCUCCCCUGCUCGCGUGCUGCUUGCCGCGGCGGCUACACUCACCGCUGCUUCUCCGCCNNNNNNNNNNNNNNNNNNNNNNNNNNNNNNNNNNNNNNNNNNNNNNNNNNNNNNNNNNNNNNNNNNNNNNNNNNNNNNNNNNNNNNNNNNNNNNNNNNNNNNNNNNNNNNNNNNNNNNNNNNNNNNNNNNNNNNNNNNNNNNNNNNNNNNNNNNNNNNNNNNNNNNNNNNNNNNNNNNNNNNNNNNNNNNNNNNNNNNNNNNNNNNNNNNNNNNNNNNNNNNNNNNNNNNNNNNNNNNNNNNNNNNNNNNNNNNNNNNNNNNNNNNNNNNNNNNNNNNNNNNNNNNNNNNNNNNNNNNNNNNNNNNNNNNNNNNNNNNNNNNNNNNNNNNNNNNNNNNNNNNNNNNNNNNNNNNNNNNNNNNNNNNNNNNNNNNNNNNNNNNNNNNNNNNNNNNNNNNNNNNNNNNNNNNNNNNNNCCAGGGCCGCGGGUGCUUCCAGUGCGCCCCUGCCGGAGGCCGCCGCCGCCGCUGGUUGUGGCCGAGGCCGCCGGCACACUCCAGCGCCCGUGCGUGCCCGGCCGGCCCCUGUUUAGCUUAGGGGCAAACCCCCCCUCUGAUUAGGCUACUCCCCUGCUAAUUACAUACUAACUAGUGGGCCCCUUAGAUAAAACAGCUCACCAAAUCCCUCUAUUAAAGUGUACAACCAAUGACAUGUGGGUCCCCCUUAUUUUAGAUUAAAGGAAAACCAUUUCAUAAGUCAUUAGGACACUUACAUGUGGGACCCCCCUGUACUAUUCAUCUGUUGAACGGUCAAUGUUGACUGGGUCAACUGGGUCCCCCUUGGCCCACCUGUCAUCCCCUGGGCACACUUCUGUGUACCCUGUGCUGGGUGCACAUAGCAUUUUUCCAAUUAAUUUCGAAUUAAAAAUAAUUUCAGAAUAUUGGUAAAACUUUAGAAAAUCAUAUAAAAUAAACCGUAACUCGGAUUAAAAUAAUUUAUAUAUGAAAGUUGCUCAGAACGAUGAGACGAAUCCAGAUACGUAGCUCGUUCAUCCGCCACGCGUCCCUAGAAUAGAGAACCUGUGACAUUUCACCUUUGGUUCAUCUGUCCGAAGACACAAAACACCGGGGAUACUUUCCCGGAUGUUUCCCCCCUUCACUGGUAUCACCUCAUACCGCGUUAGAACACGUCUAGCUCUGCUUGUUGACCUGUUAUGCACUUGCUUGCUAUGUAUUUACUGUUUCUCCCCCUCUUCUCUCGGGUAGCCCCCGUGACGAUGCUGAUGCCCCUGUGGACGACUACGUCACCGACGACCCCUCCUUCUUGUCUGAGCAACCAGGCAAGCCCCCCCUUGAUCACCAGAUAUCGCAUAUUCUCCUCUAUACUGCUUGCAUUAGAGUAGUGUAGCAUGUUACUGCUUUCCGUUGAUCCUAUUCUGAUGCAUAGCCUGACAUUGUUGCUACAUCUGUUGAUACCUUACCUGCAAUCCUAAAUACUUAGUAUAGGAUGCUAGUUUAUCAUCAUUGGCCCUACAUUCUCGUCAGUCUGCCUUGCUAUACUAUCGGCCCGUGAUCACUUGGGAGGUGAUCACGGGUAUAUACUAUACAUACAUACAUACUAUACAGAUGUUGACUAAAGUGGGGUCAGCUCGAAGAGUACCCGCGAGUGAUUCACGGAUUGGGGGCUGAAAGGACCCUUGUCCCGACGGCCCUCUGUGUGGAUCUUUGUGGCGGAGUGACAGGGCAGGUUGAGACCACCUAGGCGAGAGGUGGGCCUGGCCCUGGUCGGCGUCUGCGGUUGCUUCAUAAUAACACACUUAACGAGAUCUUGGUAUUUGAUCUGAGUCUGGCCAUUUGGUCUAUACGCACUAACCAUCUACGCGGGAGUAGUUAUGGGUAUCCCGACGUCGUGGUAUCAGCCGAAGCCUUCUUGACGUCAGCAACUGAGCGGCGCGCGCCGGAUUGGACAGGAACGCCACUAGGCUAGGUCUGCUUCCGGCCGCCCACGCAACGUGUAGGUGUGCUCAGGGCGAUGGGCCCAGACCCCUGCGCUCUUAGGUUUAGACCGGCGUGCUGACCUCUCUGUUGUGCCUAGGUGGGGCUGCGACGUGUUGAUCUUCCGAGGCCGGGCAUGACCCAGGAAAGUGUGUCCAGCCAAAUAGGAUCAAGCGGGUUGGGUUAUGUGGUGCACCCCUGCAGGGAAGUUAAUCUAUUCGAAUAGCCGUGUUCCUCGGUAAAAGGAUGACCCGGAGUUGUACCUUGACCUUAUGACAACUAGAACCGGAUACUUAAUAAAACACACCCUUCCAAGUGCCAGAUACAACCUGGUGAUCACUCUCUAACAGGGCGACGAGGAGAGGAUUGUCGGGUAGGAUUAUGCUAUGUGAUGCUACUGGAGAUGCUACUUGGAGAUGCUACUUGGAGAUGCUACUUGGGACUUCAAUCUACUCUCUUCCACAUGCUGCAAGACGGAGGCUGCCAGAAGCGUAGUCUUUGAUAGGACUAGCUAUCCCCCUCUUAUUCUGGCAUUCUGCAGUUCAGUCCACUGAUAUGGCCUCCUUACACAUAUACCCAUGCAUAUGUAGUGUAGUUCCUUGCUUGCGAGUACUUUGGAUGAGUACUCACGGUUGCUUUCUCCCCCCUUUUCCCCCUUUCCUUUCUUUCUGGUUGUCGCAACCAGAUGCUGGAGUCCAGGAGCCAGACGCCACCGUCGACGACGACCCCUACUACACUGGAGGUGCCUACUACUACGUGUAGCCCGCUGGCGACGACCAGGAGUAGUUAGGAGGAUCCCAGGCAGGAGGCCUGCGCCUCUUUCGAUUUGUAUCCCAGUUUGUGCUAGCCAUCUUAUGGCAACUUGUUUAACUUAUGUCUGUACUCAGAUAUUGUUGCUUCCGCUGACUCGUCUAUGAUCGAGCACUUGUAUUCGAGCCCUCGAGGCCCCUGGCUUGUAUUAUGUUGCUUGUAUGACUUAUUUAUGUUUUUAGAGUUGUGUUGUCAUAUCUUCUCGUGAGUCCCUGAUCUUGAUCGUACACGUUUGCGUGCAUGAUUAGUGUACGAUUGAAUCGGGGGCGUCACAAGUUGGUAUCAGAUCCGACUGCCUGUAGGAAUCCCCCUUCCACACUCCUUGGCUGAAGUCGAGUCUAGACAUUGCAAAAAACUUUUACUAACUUGGCUGUGUGCCUUACGGGCCCACGUCGCCACUGGGUGGCACUAGGAUCUUUUACUCCUCGACCUUUACUCUGGGAUUCUGAACUCUCUUCUAUUCGGGUUAAAUGAUUUUUACUAAAAUCUAACUUUAGGUUCUCGAAAAUACUUUCUCCCGGGGAGGCCCUUCAGUCCAGAUGAUUACCGACUGCACCAGAAGAUUUCGGAGAUACUCUUUGAUAUUCUCUCGAGACUUUGUUUCCAUCACUUUGCUAUUCCCGACCUUCGAUAAAUCCUUAUGGAUAACAACUUACACCUACCAUUCAUACGAUCAUCCCCCAUUGAUCUUGUUAUUACAAGAUACCCCGAGAAUAAUUUGUGCCUACUGCCUUGCAGUUCUUUGCCACCUGAAUACCCCUAAGAAUAAUUUCUCGCACCUUCCGAGUAUCCGCUCAUCCCAGUUGUUCAGGUGUUUCACAAAAGUCUUUGAAAUACUAUUCAAUCCUCCAAAAAUCCUUAGCAACUUUAUUGCUCUGCAAAUACUUGUCUACUAGCAUUAUGGAUGCUUCCCAUAUAUCUGGCAAUAUACACUAGUAUCUUUUGACACCGUCAUUUUGAUCCUAUUGAUUCAACAUGUGUGCGAAUGCACAGAAUCAUCUAUCAACCCUUCUAAAUUAUCUUUCCGGCUCAGACAUCAUUUUUGAACAUGAGCUGGUUCUCGACCAAACUAUUUGUCACCAAUUUUGCCUCUGGUCUAUCCAACUUAUCCAUCCUUGAUUAGAGCGACUGCUUUUGAUCCUUUGUUUUGGAAAUCGUAAUACCUUUGUUAUCUAAGCAUCGAGUUAUUCCGAUGUUCUAUAAUAUGAUGCUCGUGCCUUCUUUCUUCCCCUGAUGGAGUACCGAUACUCACAUCAGCUCCGUUGUGGAUCACCCGAUCCAUUGUUGGAUUGUUAUCCGACAGUGUCCUUCAUAGUCAAUCACCUUGUGAGUUCUUUCUCUGAUACAUAAUGCCUUUGGUAAAUGGUAUCCUCUCCUUUUGUCAAUCAUGCUCUGCUUUCGAGCUGGUGAUAUUUACUCUUGAAGCUUGUGGUAUAUGUUCCUAAGAAGCCCCGAUGGGUUGAACCAAUGCCUUCCCUAAUAUGUACAAACCCGAAAGAUUUCACGGGUCAUACAUAUUUGGUAUUGCACCAGGUAAAACUUUCCACAACUAAUGUCAUUUUCGAAAUACGAGAGGGCAAUGUAAGAUUAUGCAUUGAGGAAGUGGGAGUCGACCUUGAACCUUUGUGUUCAUGCCCAUGGAAACAAUGUAGAUCGUAUCAUUAAAGCUUCUCUUCAAAUAAAUAUUUCAUUAGUAUAAGUUUAUCUUAUAUCUGGGAUCUGGCAUUUUGCAAUCAUUGUUCCGGCCAUGUUCUCCUUUAAAUACCAUUUCCCGGACAAGUUGAAGUACUUGUCUUCUGCAGAUCUUUGCACUUGUCCAACCUUUACUUUGAUCUACCAUCGAGUAUUACACUCUGGUAUCUCGAAAAUAUCAUGGAACUGCAUAAUUUUUAUGGGUUCUUCAUCAACUGUCAUUUCUCACCGAUUCCAAUUUUCCUAGGUUCUGGGUUGUCGUUAACCGAGAACACCGAUAUGUGAACCGAGUCUGUACUACGGUUCAAUAACUCUAAGUAAUCUUUGUUGCUUAUGAGUUUAUUAAUCCUUCAAGUCAGUCCUAGCUUGGUCGGCUAUAUCAUUAUCGUACAACUUUUUAACUGUGCUACCUGGUCCUUUUUCCUGGAGCACAAUUUUCGACGAUGAGCUACGCUUACGUCGAUUUUCCUCAUCAUAUCAUUUUGCCUUGAACAACAAACUUGAUUUCGAGUUGUGUCGUACCCAUGGUUCCAAUAACCUUUCGCUUCAUCAUUCCUUUGACUUGUUGUCAUCGCCGAUCAAUUACACCUUCAUGAAAUCUCUCGACAAUUGUGUCGGAUCACCUUCAACACUUUGACUUCUUCCGAGAUGUUAACUGUGUUCAUGAUGAUAAAUACCCUCCUUGCCCUCGAUGAUUUUAUUAUCAUCGACAACACCCUUGACUUCCUUCCAUCGCGAGCUUGUCCACAUUAUGAAUACAACCCGCUCUCCAGCUAAUGUUGUGUUCUGCCUUGAAGCAUUACUGUCUUUUCUAUCAAGAAUGUUGUGAGGAUUGCUCCACUUCUUAAGAAUUCUUGAAAUAGUGAUACUUCUCCCCAUCACCUUCUUUCUUGGUCCCCGUGUUGUUUCUAACCGGAAUACCAACAAUUGAACUAUGAUGUGUGAAUUCAAAAGUCCUAGCAACCCUAUUUCUUUGAAGUGAACGGUCAAUAACUCCAUUCUAAGUCUUUUGGUUAUUGAAUCGCCAUUCUAACAUUGAUCAUGCUACCUAAGCCCAUAUUUCGGGUGCAUCUUUCAACCAAUGUUUAAUUGUGUAUGUUUCCCUCGAGCAUACAUCAUUAUAUCAUCAGAUCUGACAAGUGUUAUCUCCUUGUCCGCAUAAUUGUGGGAACCCAUCUUUUUGUAAAUCACAAUGAAUUUUUGCUGAGUCCAUCAGCCACCUCCUCAUCCCCUCCUUGGUGUAAUGAUGAACUAUUGUUUCAGGAACCCGCUGCCAUAGUUGAUUUCCCAAGAAUCUUACAAUGCUAUCUCGUCAAUUUUUUUUUGCACCUUUUCUUCUCAGGCAUCCUGAGUCCGAGGUAUCUUGAUUCCUAACAUCAAUCAAAUCUGAAUCUCGGUCAGAUAUGAUGGUUGGGUCAUAUUUCCAAGAGUUAUAAAAUUGGUCUUUAUAUGACCUGGUAAGGUGAUGUCAUGCCUAGCACACCUGGCCGGAGGACCUGCUGUUAUAGUUUCCUUAUUAGCAAGGUUAACCAUUCUUCCCUGAGGAAAUUAUAAGACUUAUUCUAUAAGUUGAUCCUGAUGGAUCCCUUAUGUAUCCAUAGUCCGAUCUUUACCUGUUGACCAUGUCAAUGCUAUCUCGAAGCAUGUCGGUGGUACUCCGAUCAUCAAUAAGAACAUUUGAAGCACAACGUUGAAUUUUCUUUAUCAAUUAUCCAAACACCGUUGUAUGGGUAAUGUCAUGAAGUUUCUCUCCCCUUACCUAAAAGGGCUUUCUACUUUAUAUACUAUCAUGCAUAUCAUGCCUUACUUGUCCGUGGGUAGAUAUACCCAUGGGAUAUGUGUUCUAACACGUUUUCCUUUCCAUUGUCCUGUCUAAUCUGAUAAUGAUAUAUUCCUUUCCAUUGUUUGGUUUAACCUCUCUGGUGAUCUAUAAGAUCUAAGCAGUAAAAUUAUCCUGCUUACGAAAACACCUCGGUGUACCACCUUAUCAGUCAGACCCUGUUACUAUUGUGGACGACAUUCGAGUAACCACCGAUGGACGAGAAUUUUGCCUAUUGGUCCGCCUCGUUCAACGAGCAGGAAAAUGGUUCUCUUCGUCCCUCACCGUUGGUAUCGUUCUUGUUGCCAACAUAACUGACCGGCUACCCUCUGACAUGGCUUGCUAUUGUGACCGUGCAAGAUGUCAGCCCCCUUUCUACUUUGACCCACAUGGUGGGCCCAUAACCCACAGUUCCACAGGAUCAAAACCUGACUCUCCUGUACAUCUAAUAGUUAUUCCUCGUCCGUGGCCUCGUAUAUAAUUCAAGAGCCACCUUCAAGUCUGAUAUCAGACACAAUACUUAUUCCCGUUGCUUUGAAUCCCUUUCACGCCCUGCAACAGGCAUCGAACAUUCCUGCCCGCUUGAAACUUUCCAUGAUACCGCCUUACUUUGCUCUCGAUAUUUUCUAAGUUUCAAUUCGAGAGUUACUUUCCGCCACCUUCCCCGAUGUUAUCGACUAGAUAGUCAGCCUUACAGAGGUCUGUUCCCCUGGAAUAACCCCCUUAUUCUUUCCUAAGUACGAUGGAGUUCCUGAAGAAAGGACGCCGACUUCACCAUGAUGACCUGAAGUAGAGAAAUGCAGACAUAAAUGUAAUGGAUCGACCUCUUCGAGAAGAGCAACCAAGGCCGAGAAGAUCCGUUAGAAUUUCGUAACUAGACCUUCCCCCCUUCUCUACCUCUUAAAUCUCGGGACGAGAUUUCUUGUAGUGGAGGAGAAUUGUGAUGCCCUGAUAAUUAAGCUACAUUAAUUCCCGGCUAAUGAUGCAACGUCAUCAUGAUUACUGUUGUUAAACUCUCGUUAGCUCGAACCUGGUCCAAAUUCAAAUUUAACUUAAAGUCCAAAAUAAAUGUUUUCAAACAUGAAAGCUAAAAUGUUCAAAGUGUGGCAAAUAAUCGAUGGAUAUUUGUCAUGUUGGAACAAACCUCUUUUGGAUUCCGAAAGUGCCCCUGGAAAUUAUUUAGCGGUCCAGCAUCUUUUGAAAUUGACCUUUUCAAUUUCUAAAAAUGGUUAGACAACUCCUUUUGACCCCAUACUUUUUGUUCCAUCUCAAUUUAUUGUGUUAGAAUUAUGUGCCACGUUUCGCUCAAAACAAAACUCUUUUGGCACAAAAACAAAAUGCAAACAUAGGCAAAAAAAAGGAGUUAAACAAAAGAAAGGGAAAGACCCGAUCAGCAAAAGAAAACAAAA
rnacentral:lncRNA from 1 species